AAUAAGGCGUACGGUGGAUGCCUUGGUCGAAAGUACCGAAGAAGGACGUAUUAGGCUGCGAUAAUUUGCGGGGAGCUGCCAAAAAGCUUUGAUCCGCAAGAUUCCGAAUGGAGUAAUCCCCCCGAUUUAUCGGGGACUGUUAACUGAAUUCAUAAGUUAACGGAGGGUACGUGCCGAACUGAAACAUCUAAGUAAGCACAGGAAAAGAGAACAAAAGUUAUUCCCUAAGUAGUGGCGAGCGAAAUGGGAACAGUCUAAACCAUACACCAGGCAUUCGCGCAAGCGAAUGACCCGUAUGGGGUUGUGAGGCAACAGUAGCGACAAAUUUAACUAACAGAACAAGCUGGAAAGCUUGACCAAAGAAGGUGACAGUCCUGUAAGUAAAAGUUAAGUUUGCGUGGUUGAUCCCUCAAGUAGCUCAGGACACGAGUAAUCCUGGGUGAAUCCGGCAGGACCAUCUGCUAAGACUAAAUAUACUUUCGGACCGAUAGUGAACUAGUACCGUGAGGGAAAGGUGAAAAGAAGAGCGGAACGCUCAGUGAAAUAGUACCUGAAACCGUAUGCUGACAAGCAGCGAAAGUCCCGAUUUAUCGAGGAUGAUCGCGUGCCUAUUGAAGAAUGAACCGGUGAGUUAUUUGUUGUGGCAAGGCUAACCCGUCAAGGCGGGGAAGCCGUAGUGAAAGCAAGCCUUAAAAGGGCGAUUAGUCAUAACUUAUAGACCCGAAACCGUGUGAGCUAACCAUGUGCAGGGUGAAGGCCGCCGAAAGGCGGUUGGAGGCCCGAACCCGUAUCUGUGGAAAUAGGUUGGGAUGACAUGUGGUUAGAGGUGAUAUGCCUAGCGAACACGGAGAUAGCUGGUUCUCCCCGAAAUAUAUUUAGGUAUAGCCCUGUGUAAUAACAUUGGGGGUAGAGCUCUGGAUGGAUUUGGCGGCAGCAAUGUCGUCACUCCAAUCAAACUUCAAAUACCAAUGUUUUGUAGCAGGAGUCAGUCCGAUCCGGCUAAGCGGAGCGGUCCUGAGGGAAACAACCCAGAUCGUCAGUUAAGGUCCCUAAAUGCAAGCUAAGUGUUAAAGGAAGUUUAGUUCCUUAGACAGCCAGGAAGUUGGCUUAGAAGCAGCCACCUUUUAAAGAUAGCGUAACAGCUCGCUGGUCUACUACGGAAUUGAGCGCCGACAACGUAUCGGGGCUAAGCUUGCUACCGAAGCUACGAAUCUUGUCUGCAGGACAAGAAUUUUCAAUGAUCAAGUACCAAUUAUCAAUGAAUUUUCAAAAUUCAAAUGUUUCAAACAUUUGAAAAUUAAGAAAUUAAAAUUUUAUUGUAAAUUGAAAAUUGUAAAUUGGACAUUCUCGCCUUGCAGGCGAGGUGGUAGGGGAGCGUUCUAAAUGUUAUGAAGCUAAGCUGUGAGGCUUGGUGGAACGUUUAGAAGUGAGAAUGCCGGUAUGAGUAACGUAUGAAUGUGAGAAACAUUCAAGCCGAAAGCCCAAGGUUUCCGAUCCCAUGUUAAUCAGGGUCGGGUUAGUCGGUCCUAAGGUCAGGCCACGUUAGUGGAUUAGCCGAUGGACAACAGGUUAAAAUUCCUGUACUUUUUUAUGUUUGACAAGUUUUGAAGUUUUGAGAAAUCAAAAUCAGGAAGCCAUUAAGGAUGAACAGAGUAGGAAAAUCUUUGCCAGCUAUACGCUGGUACAAGCAACAAGUUAGUGGAGGCAGGCAAAUCCGCUUCUACAAGCUGUCAGUUACGCUGAUUUUAGUGAUCAGUUUGACUGGCUUUAGUCAGCUCAGCUGAUAGCUAAAAAAUACAAGUUGUGAUGUCGGAAGAAAGAGUUUUUCUGUUUUCAGGAAAAGAUUCGUAAUGGAAACAUAGAGAACCCGUACUAAAACCAACACAGGUGGGCGAGUUGAGUAUACAAAGGCUAUCGAGAGAACUAUCCUUAAGGAACUCGGCAAUAUAGCUGGACGUAAGUUAGCGAGAUGUCCUGCCCGUAGAAAUACGGGUUGCAAUAAAUGACGCUGAGCGACUGUUUAUCAAAAACACAGGUCCCUGCUAAUCUGAAAAGAGAUGUAUAGGGGCUGACACCUGCCCAGUGCCAGUAAAUUAAAAUUGGAGAUGACCUCUGAGAGUAAUCAAUGAGUGAGUUUCUGGUCUAAGUUCUGGUGAACGGCGGCUUUAACUAUAAGAGUCCUAUGGUAAUUCGUUGCUUUAGGAGAGUUAAACGUUUUUGGUGUUAGUGAUUUUUGAAUCUGACUAUAUGCUGGAAAAACUCAGUAUCCGACAGUACCAGUUAGAAGUGAGAAGUUAGAUGUAAGAAGAUGGAAAAAAGAAGUGAGAGGUGAGAUUUUUUAGUCCCACAUCCUAUUUCUAAAUCUACAUUCCCAUCGCACACUUCGCACAUCAAAUAUGGUGACAAUCUGUUCGGUGGAGUAAAUCAGCAGGGAAGAUUACAGCCUACCGCUGUAGAACCCUCAGAGACUAUACGUCAGACCUACUCUUUUUAACUUAAAGAAUUAGGAAGAUAUAGUCCGAACUGCUAAGCGAUUAGCAGAAGUGGCAAUUAACUCAGCCACAUUUAACAUAAAAAAAAGGAAGAGCGAAAUUCCUUGUCUGGUGAGUUCAGACCCGCACGAAUGGUAGAACGACUUAGCGACUGUCUUGAGGAUAGACUCGGUGAAAUUGCAAUGGCUGUGAAGAUGCGGCCUUCCCAUACUUGGACAAGAAGACCCCGUGGAGCUUUACUGGAGCUUGGCCCUGUUUUGAAAAAUUAAUUGUGNNNNNNNNNNNNNNNNNNNNNNNNNNNNNNNNNNNNNNNNNNNNNNNNNNNNNNNNNNNNNNNNNNNNNNNNNNNNUAUAUAGUGUGCUUGACUGCGAGACAAACAGGUCGAGCAGGUGCGAAAGCAGGUUUUAGUGAUCCUUAUUUACCUCAUGGGAGGGAAUAGGCUUAUCGGAUAAAAGCUACCCCGGGGAUAACAGGCUAGUCUUGCCCAACAGUCCACAAGGACGGCAAGGUUCGGCACCUUUUUAAAAACAUUGGGGUGCGGUGGAAGUAAUUCCAUUAGACUGUUAAACAAAAUUAGAAACUUCUUGAAACAAAAAUACUAGUCAAAAUCGGUGAACGCCUAGGCAGUAAUGCAAGGUCAACACCGAGGGAAGUCCGACGUAACGUCGGACCCUGUAACGACUUGUGCGAAAGCACAGAUAUCAGCUUGCGGAUAUUCCGGGUACUUAAACUGAUAUAUAAAACUAGCCCCCGAAGAACAUCGGGGUGAAGGUAUAGUCUGAUCCUGUGAGUAAUCACAGACAAAUUAAAAAGACAGCGAUGUCGGCUCAUCGUAUCCUGGGGCUGAAGUAGGUCCCAAGGGUCUGGCUGUUCGCCAGUUAAAACGGUACGCGAGCUGGGUUCAAACCGUCAAUUUGGCGGCUCCCGAAAGUAAUUUCGGGAUGCAUAAACUGACUCAUAUCGGAGAAGUCCUAGACACAGCAAACUGUCAUGUGCUAGGAUAAUUCCGAGGGAAGUCUGAAUCCUAAUGAAUAAAUUGUCCAAGUCUCAGAGUAGUUAUCUUGCUGGAUUUCUUGAUGCUGACGGUAGUAUUUAUGUUAAAUUAACAAAAAAUUCUACCUAUAAAUAUCGGUAUCAGGUAUCUCCAAAUAUAGUUUUCUACCAAUCUCAAAGUUCUAAAGUUUCCUUAAAGGAACUUCAUAAAAUAACCGGAAUAGGUUAUUUAAGAAAAAGAAAUGACGGGAUUGAAGAAUACAUAAUAGGAGAUAUAAAAUCCAUUAGAGAUUUUUUAAAUAAAAUAGAAAAAUUUCUAAUUUUCAAAAGAAAGCAGGCAAAACUCAUUAUUGAAAUUCUUAAUUUAAAGGAGAAAAUUAGAUCUCCACAAGAAUUUUUAGAACUCUGUAGGCUUGUAGACCAAUUUAAGUUGUUGAAUUACUCCAAAAAGAGAACAAUUUUGAUGGAUGUAAUUAAACAAACUUUAAUUAAAGAAGGAUUCAUGACCCCGUAGAGACUUGACCUAUUUAGGUCAAAUAUGAGGUACCAGAUAAUCUGGAUUUAAACUCAUAUUAGAUGUCAGUCCCCCUACGUUACAGUAGGGGGGUGGUAUAGUCCAUACAGCUAGUAAUAGUUGAAUUAUAUGCGUGAGACAGGUUGGACUCUAUCCAGUAUGGGCGUUUGGAUUCUUGAAGGGAGUUGUCUCUAGUACGAGAGGACCGAGAUGAGGAAACCUCUAGUGUGCCGGUUGUACUUACAAGUGCAGCGCCGGGUAGCUACGUUUCUUUUUGAUAAGUGCUGAAAGCAUCUAAGCACGAAGCAGACCCUAAGAUGAGGAAUCUUUAAGACUCCUGGAAGACUACCAGGUUGAUAGGCUGGCGGUGUAAGAUCUGUGAGGAUUUUAGCCAACCAGUACUAAUAGUC
rnacentral:rRNA from 1 species